rnacentral:pre_miRNA from 1 species
CGCUGGGCCCGCUGGCCCGCUGAGCCGCUCAACUAUUACUCCCUAAUAGAGAGUAAUAGCUAAGCGGCUCAGCGGGCCAGCGGACCCAGCGA